rnacentral:rRNA from 1 species
CAUUACAGAGUUCAUGCCCUUACGGGUAGAUCUCCCACCCUUGUGUAUUAUACCUUCGUUGCUUUGGCAGGCCGCUUCGGCUACCGGCUUCGGCUGGUGAGUGCCUGCCAGAGAACCCAAAAUUCUGAAUGUUAGUGUCGUCUGAGUACUAUAUAAUAGUUAAAACUUUCAACAACGGAUCUCUUGGUUCUGGCAUCGAUGAAGAACGCAGCGAAAUGCGAUAAGUAAUGUGAAUUGCAGAAUUCAGUGGAUCAUCGAAUCUUUGAACGCACAUUGCGCCCCGUGGUAUUCCGCGGGGCAUGCCUGUUCGAGCGUCAGUACAACACUCAAGCUCUGCUUGGUAUUGGGCCCUGCCGGUAACGGCUGGCCUUAAAAUCAGUGGCGGCGCCAUCUGGCUCUAAGCGUAGUAAUACUCCUCGCUACAGAGUCCCGGUGGAUGCUUGCCAGCAACCCCCAACUUUCUAAGUUUGACCUCGGAUCAGGUAGGGAUACCC